rfam:Echinostoma caproni strain Egypt genome assembly, scaffold: ECPE_scaffold0000038
GGCCUCGUAGCUCAGCUGGUAGAGCAUGCGCGUACAAAGUGUAGGCGGUGUCCAUGCGUGGGUUCGAAUCCCACCGAGGCUA